AAAGCAUCGGUAUUCUUCUGCUCUGUCUUUAUCUUCAAAAAUUGUUUCACGGCUAAACUAGUAUUGCAUAAGCAAUAUUUUCAGAUGGACCUCUUCCAAACCAAGGUGCUAUACUAUAGGUGGACCGCAAUGUCAAAAUUGCUGUUCGGCCAUUGCUCGUGAAAAAACAAAUUUGUUUACAAAACAUAUCAUAUCUUUUGGUGACAAAUGCAUUCGUCGGCAAAAUAGCUGCUCGCGCUUUACUGUAGAUAUCUACAAUCAGCGGUCGAAUUAAAAACAGUGCAGAAGGAUGUUUUGAGUAUGUUUUAGCUUCUAGCCGCGCAAUCAAUGCUUUUUUUCCAAGCAAGAUGUACUUCUGUUUGGAUCCUAUCGGCGGGGAAAAAAGUACUUACGGCGACGGUGACAAGAAAUAGCGCUGAUUGCGAGAUUACCAGAUCCAGAAGAUCCGGAAGGGCUGUUACAAGUAAUUGGUUUUGCUAGAGCAAAAGGAGGUUGACAAUGAUUGCAACAGGUGAAAUAAACUGUUGGAAUCACGACUAUCGAUCACGCCAGAAGAUCCGGAAAGAGUUGUUGAAAGUAAUUGGCCACAGAAAAGUAUCCAUUUAUGAAGUCUAUCUCCAUCUCGGGGGAAAGUGUGGUAAACAAUGUCCGGGUUGUUUUUCGUUAUGCGGACCUUGUUUCCGCAUCCUUUUACUGCAUAAUAAUACGGCAUCUGAAGAAAAUAAGAUAUUCACAAUAUAAUUUUGGCAUGAUAGAGAACCGCGAGAUGAACGAUUAUCUGUGGAGGAGUUGGACAACAGAUUUCUUAGACUUAUAGCACUUUAAUCACACUCACAAGCUCUUCAACUCCUCACUGUCCCCCAAAACUAUUGAAUAAUAUGUAAUAUAAAUACCUUAUUGCAGCUCUAGUACACUAUUUUUCACGAAUAUAUAUUUGCUUAUUUCUUUCUUCAGUUGUUUUCCUCAGCGAGUUGAUAUGAAACCAUAACGACACAACCAAACAAAAAGUAAACAAUGCAGAAAGCUACGUCUCGCAACUCGUCUCACGUAUUGUCAUGAAAGUGUCAAGAACGAAACACCUAUAGUUUAGCAUCUUGUUCCAAACAACACAACCAAAUGUAAACAUUGAACUCAUAUCCAGGGUUGCUAGAUGACUGUUUUGAAUAUAUUAACACGGCACGAAAAGGGUCUUCACAUAUUGAACGAAAAUGAGUAAUUCAAAACAACUACUUUAUUAGAAAUACAUAUAUAUAGAUUUAAAACUUUUAUUGAUAAAUCGUUGAUUAGGUGAACAAACAAUGCCCCCAAUAAAUCCAUAAUAACAAAACGUCUGAGUGAUGAAACCAUAUGCUCGAGGAAAUAUAUCAAUGAAACCAAAAGAUAUAUGAAACUCAUUCCUUUUUGUUAUGUUUUUUUAAUAUUUUGGCACUGAGAAAAGAGAUCGAUUGAUCAAUUUUAAAACUGUGUUGUUUUUCUCAAAACAAAAACAUGUCUUCUCAUCUGAUAUCAUUGAUCACACCGAGAAAAACUGACUGAAGUCUCUCCAGUCUACCAAAUAAAACAUUUCAAUGAAACUCGUAAAAGAAGUUGGCCCGGCUCAUGAGUUGUUGAGUCUGAUAGGUAGGAACAGGUGGAGUCGCCUCCCUGAUGUCGGUGAUUGGCACUGAAGUGGCGGAAAUAGGCCGACGAAAAAUAAACGAAGAUAAAAAAAAAAUAAAAAAUGAAACUCGUGUACUGGAAUGGAAUAUUCUGCUCGUCUCGACAGUGACUGAAGCCGAGACGAGACGGGACGAAUUGCUCGUCUCGUUUUUUGGAAUUGGACCCUCUAUUCAUUAAGGACAAUCGAACUUAGACCUUUCGCCAUGUUUCAAUCGGUCUACGGGAGCUACAUUUUUAGUCCCCAAUUACAUCCCAUAGCGCAUUUAUCGAAUCCAAAUAAAUUUUAUGUCCUCUGGAUACGUUAGGAUUUUAAAAAUGCCACCAAGUGGGUAAAUUGCUGUUUGUUUAUCUUUUCUUUCUUAACACUCCUAUACUCGCACAUUGGUCUGUCAGACCGAGAAAUCAAUAAUUCGUUCAUUUCUCAGAAAAUAUCAACACUACGACUUUGCGAUUCUCUCUAGCUUAUUCGUCGUUCGUCAUCGUUUAACGUAUCGCAUGUGUUGUUACAAUGGGGACGUGUGCCACUUUUUUAACAGUUUCGGUCUGACACACCGACGCGAGUAUAGGAGUAACUUUAUUGGACAAGUGCCUUUUUUCAUAUUCUAGAAUAUUGUUGAAUAAAAUGUUAGUGGCGUGGAAUUUUUAUUGAAUGUAAUGCAUAAGAUCAUUACCGGAC